ACGGGAGGCAGCAGUGGGGAAUAUUGCGCAAUGGGGGAAACCCUGACGCAGCAACGCCGCGUGAAGGAAGAAGGUCUUCGGAUUGUAAACUUUUGGUUGCAGGGAAGAAGAAGUGACAGUACCUGCAAAGGAAGCUCCGGCUAACUACGUGCCAGCAGCCGCGGUAAUACGUAGGGAGCAAGCGUUGUCCGGAAUUACUGGGUGUAAAGGGUGCGUAGGCGGGUAUGCAAGUCAUAUGUGAAAUACCGGGGCUCAACUCCGGAGCUGCAUAAGAAACUGUAUAUCUUGAGUGCAGGAGAGGUAAGCGGAAUUCCUAGUGUAGCGGUGAAAUGCGUAGAUAUUAGGAGGAACACCAGUGGCGAAGGCGGCUUACUGGACUGAAACUGACGCUGAGGCACGAAAGCGUGGGGAGCAAACAGGAUUAGAUACCCUGGUA
rnacentral:rRNA from 1 species